GACGAACGCUGGCGGCGUGCUUAACACAUGCAAGUCGAACGGUGAAGCUCCAGCUUGCUGGAGUGGAUCAGUGGCGAACGGGCGAGUAACACGUGAGCAACCUGCCCCUGACUCUGGAAUAAGCGCUGGAAACGGCGUCUAAUACUGGAUACGAGAAGGGUCCGCAUGGGCACUUUCUGGAAAGUUUUUCGGUUGGGGAUGGGCUCGCGGCCUAUCAGCUUGUUGGUGAGGUAAUGGCUCACCAAGGCGACGACGGGUAGCCGGCCUGAGAGGGCGACCGGCCACACUGGGACUGAGACACGGCCCAGACUCCUACGGGAGGCAGCAGUGGGGAAUAUUGCACAAUGGGCGAAAGCCUGAUGCAGCGACGCCGCGUGAGGGAUGACGGCCUUCGGGUUGUAAACCUCUUUCAGCAGGGAAGAAGCGAAAGUGACGGUACCUGCAGAAGAAGCACCGGCUAACUACGUG
rnacentral:rRNA from 1 species